AGUGAACGCUGGCGGUAGGCCUAACACAUGCAAGUCGAACGGCAGCACAGUAAGAGCUUGCUCUUACGGGUGGCGAGUGGCGGACGGGUGAGGAAUACAUCGGAAUCUACUUUUUCGUGGGGGAUAACGUAGGGAAACUUACGCUAAUACCGCAUACUACCUACGGGUGAAAUCAGGGGAUCUUGGGGCCUUGCGCGAUUGAAUUAGCCGAUGUCGGAUUAGCUAGUUGGCGGGGUAAAGGCCCACCAAGGCAACGAUCCGUAGCUGGUCUGAGAGGAUGAUCAGCCACACUGGAACUGAGACACGGUCCAGACUCCUACGGGAGGCAGCAGUGGGGAAUAUUGGACAAUGGGCGCAAGCCUGAUCCAGCCAUACCGCGUGAGUGAAGAAGGCCUUCGGGUUGUAAAGCCCUUUUGUUGGGAAAGAAAAGCAGCAGGUUAAUACCCCGCUGUUCUGACGGUACCCAAAGAAUAAGCACCGGCUAACUUCGUG
rnacentral:rRNA from 1 species